rnacentral:lncRNA from 1 species
AUAUAGGAACUUUUCUUCUGGAACAAUGAAUUCCUCUCUCCAUUUAUACCCUUUUUCGUGAUGCCUGCUUGUGCGGUAAAUGUUUAGAUUUGGCGUCCAUUUUGUGGUAGAAAUAGAAAUGUCCUAAAAGGAAGCCUUGUGGGGCAGGCUGGCGGCUGCAGCUCCCGUUGGACCCCUAGCCUGGGAACUUCCGGAUGCCCACAGGUGCGACCCUAAAAAGCAAAAUAAAAUAAAAGGAAGCCUUGAUUAAGAAAAUUUAGUGACUUAUUUUGUCCAUUCCAGCCCCAUGUGAUUUCCUUCUUCCACCCUCAUCCAAUUUGUCUUCUUUGCCCCAAUUAUUUGCCAUUUAUUAAACAUCCAGCAGCUCAUCUGUGUAUGUGUGUGCCUUGUCUCCCUAUGUAAGAAGAGCUAUCACUUAUAAAGCACUUGCUAUUUGCCAGACACUGUGCUAGGGAAUUAUCUAAUUCUUUCAACAAUCCUCAAAAAUUACAGAUGAGGAAACUGAAUUUAAGUGCUUAAGUAGGUGCCUGAGUUAAAACCACAGUUGUUGAUGGAUCCAGAAUUUGAACCUGGGUCUGUCUCAUCAAAGUCAGUGUUCUUUCUACUCUGUUCUGUCUUUCAAAAAGCUGUUUGCGGAGUUCCCGUCGUGGCUCAGUGGUUAACGAAUCCGACUAGGAACCAAGAGGCUGCGGGUUCGGCCCCUGCCCUUGCUCAGUGGGUUAACGAUCCGGUGUUGCCGUGAGCUGUGGUGUAGGUUGCAGACACGGCUUGGAUCCCGAGUUGCCGUGGCUCUAGUGUAGGCCAGUGGCUACAGCUCCGAUUCGACCCCUAGCCUGGGAACCUCCAUAUGCCGCAGGAGCGGCCCUAGAAAAGGCAAAAAGACACACACACACACACACACACAAAGCUGCUUGCUUUGUCAAAUCCUAUCAGUCUAAAAAUUUCCCCAGAAGCUUUUCUGUUUAAUAUGUUUAUUUGAGCUCCAACCCCACCACAAACACACACAGAGUUGUGAACAUAAUAGGUGUUCAGUAAAUAUGUUGAAUAAAUGGAAGAAAAAAAGGGCACACUGCAGGAGUUCCUGUCAUGGCACAGUGGUAACAAACCUGACUAGUAUCCUUGAGGGUGCAGGUUCGAUUCCUGGCUUUGCUCAGUGGGGUAAGGAUCUGGUGUUGCUGUGAGCCAUGUGGUAGUUUGCGAACGUGGUUCGGAUCUGGCAUAGCUGUGGCUGUGGCGCAGGCUAGGGGUCCAAUCAGAGCUGUAGCCACCGGCCUACACCAGAGCCCCCGCAACAUGGGAUCUGAGCCGUGUCUGUGACCUACACCACAGCUCAACAGCAACACCGGAUCCUAAACCCACUGAGCAAGGGCAGGGAUCGAACCCGCAACCUCAUGGUUCCUAGUUAGAUUCGUUAACCACUGCGCCACAACGGGAACCCCUAGUCCUCUCUAUUUCUUUCCCAGCAUUCAUAGGUCUGAACAUCAGUUACCCCAUCCUUUGCAACCUCUAUAGAUAGCCUGGCUAGCCUGGUCCUAACCAGAGGCAGGGAUCCCUAGACCUUUUCAUAUUCUAUGUUAAAGAGUUUUCUCUGGGCUUAUUGAAGUAUAUUUUAGGAGAAGUUGAUCAGUUCUUUGGUGUUAUUACCAUUCAGGUAUAUCUCAAAGACUAUAAAAUUGAGAUUGAACAAGCCAUUAUUUCUUAUCAUGGAGAUGAGAGCACGCAUACUUAAAUGAGGGUAAUAAUGGAAUUGCGGGAUCUUCUUUACUGGGUACUGUUUUUCUUGGCCAGCCUGACAUGCAGAGUUUCCUGGCCAGGGAUUGAACCCAUGCCACAGCUGUAACCAGAGCCACAGCAGUGACAAUGCCAGAUCCUUAAUCUCCUGAGCCACAAGGAAACUCCACUGAGUACUGUUUUGAAAAGUAGGUAGUCAUGAUCAAUCUACAAAGAUUGCGUUAAACUUAGCACUUGCAUUGGGCAAGUUUAAACUGACAGCUGUAACAAGCAGUCUCCAGCUUCCAGAAGCUUUAGAUAAUGAAAGUUUAUUGCUGACUCAUAUAAGAAUAUAGUGCAAGUAUUCUUGGUUAGCCAGUAAUCCCCCACAUAGUACUGCUGGGACCCAAGUUCUUUCCUUAUUACAGUGCCACCUCUUCUAGAUCUUUGGAGUCCCUUCCAUUAAGUUGCAAGAUAAAAAGAGGGAGAUUGGAAGAGCAGAAAGUUUUCAUAGAACAAGCUUAGAUGCAUGUUAUUUCCCAUCCUCAUUUUAUUGGCCAGAAUUCAGUCAUAUGGCCCCACCUAACUGCAAAGAAGGCUAGGAAAACCAGUCUAGCUGAGUGCCCAAUAAGAAAGGGAACCGGGGUAUAGUGAACACACAGCAGUCUCUGCUACAGCUCUACAUAUGCACUUCCCAUCUAGCAUCAUGGUUUUAGCAGCACUCUGUUAAAAAAAAAAAAAAAGGUUGCUCUUGUUACUUUGGGUAUAUCUGAUACAGUCUAAUUAUCUGAGACUAUGUGGAGCAAAGCAAAGUGUUAAUUGUGGGCUGUGAUAUCUAAGAUAUGACCUCAGUCCCUAAGAAUUCUGUACUAAAAUAGAGUUCUCAGCCAAUUCUAAAAUGGAGACAAGAAGGUAUGGUCUUUUGUUGCAUAAAUCUCGUUAUAUGUCUGCCCUAACUUUAAGCCACUUAAGACUGACCUGAUAAUAUGUCUUUGUGUUUGUGGUUUUCAGUCUGUGCCUGGCAUAUAGUAGGUAUUAUAGAAGUAAUUUUUCAAGGAAACGAAAUAAAGAACCAUGUUGAAGGAGUGCAGAGAAGGAAGAAUUACUUACGACCGGGCAUUGUUAUAAGUUGUUCACUGUACAGUUCUAGGAGGUGCAGUUCACAUUGUUGUCAUUGUGAGUGGCUCUCCUUACAGCUGUGUAAUGACAUGCACAGCUGUAUGUGGCAGCCCUGGACAGUAGAGCCCAGGAAGUGCAUCCCAGAGAACAUGAAAAAUUGAACUGGGCUUUGAGAUAUACAAAGGAUUUCUAUACAUGAAGAAGGAGAGCAGGGACAUUCUACACUGAGGAAAAGAGCCCAUUCAGAAGCAAGG